rnacentral:rRNA from 1 species
AGUGAACGCUGGCGGUAGGCCUAACACAUGCAAGUCGAACGGCAGCACAGUAAGAGCUUGCUCUUACGGGUGGCGAGUGGCGGACGGGUGAGGAAUACAUCGGAAUCUACUUUUUCGUGGGGGAUAACGUAGGGAAACUUACGCUAAUACCGCAUACGACCUACGGGUGAAAGCAGGGGAUCUUCGGACCUUGCGCGAUUGAAUGAGCCGAUGUCGGAUUAGCUAGUUGGCGGGGUAAAGGCCCACCAAGGCGACGAUCCGUAGCUGGUCUGAGAGGAUGAUCAGCCACACUGGAACUGAGACACGGUCCAGACUCCUACGGGAGGCAGCAGUGGGGAAUAUUGGACAAUGGGCGCAAGCCUGAUCCAGCCAUACCGCGUGAGUGAAGAAGGUCUUCGGGUUGUAAAGCCCUUUUGUUGGGAAAGAACAGCAGCAGGUUAAUCCCCCGCUGUUCUGACGGUACCCAAAGAAUAAGCCCCGGCUAACUUCGUG